CAAACGUGAGCCACCAGCGAGAUGCGUUGAAGAAAAAGGUAUCAUAAGUUGAUUAACAUUCUAUUAGUAAAUUCACAUUGUAGAAUCAAGGUUCAUUUGAGUUUAGCAAGACUACGCACUAUGACUUUAAAGAAGCAUAUCUAGAGAUACAUAUAUUAGUGAAGCAAUAGAUAAUUCAGUGAAAAUUCUAUAAUCAUUAAAAAUAAACUUUCCAUACAAGGAAACGUUGGUUAAAAAGAAGGUAAAUGCCUUAGAUGCAGAAUAAAUUCAGCCUCGUUGGCAUUUUAUAUGAUUCUUAUGGGGUUCGAUGUGAAAGUUAUGAAUAAUAGGAAAAAUUAACAAUCACUAUACUUACCAUGUCCAAUAUUGAAUAAAAAGGUAGUAUCCACAGCAAGACGAAAUCCUAUAAGAGUAGAAUAGACAGGAAGCAGGAAUAAACAAUUGUUCAAUGGCAUGAUGAUAAAUAAUUAGAUAAUUUAUUAAUGCCGAAAGACAGUAUACAACAAAGUUAACAGAGACUUGGCCAGACACUCAACUUGCCUGAAAGAACAAUAAUUUUGCAGUAUAUCCUCAAAAAAGUAACUUGUCAAUGGUAGAUUAUAAAUAAUUUGAAUAAUUUCUAAUUAUGAACGAAUAGCACACAUUGCUCAUAAUGACAUAAAGUUUUUACAUUAGCUGAUGUCAAACAAACAUAAUUCUAGCGACAUUUCACUCGAAAUAGGUAUUGUCAAUAGAAAAAACUGUAAACAAUAUAGUAAAUUGUUAUUACAAAUAGAUAGCACGUUGUUAACGUAAUGACGCCUUGCUUGGACUCCAUCCUAUAUCAAAUAUACGGAAAUUUUGCAAAAAAUACUUUGAGAAAGAUAUUGAUAAUGGAUUAUUUAUAAAUAUUCUAUAAAUUUAUAAUUACAAGCAGGUAGCAUGAAUUAGACAUGAUAGCGUAGAGUCUUAAGACUAGUUAUUGGAAAUCCAAUAAAAAAAUUAAUGAAUUUUUGCCGAUAAUUACAUUGUCAGUGGAAUACACAAGUAAUUCGAUAAUUCGUUAUUAUAAACAAAUGCCAGUCGAGGGUUACAAUGAAACCACGAAUUGACAUUAGACUUUGACAAAUAAGUUGCAAUUUUGACAAAAAACCCCAUAGGAUGUAUUGUCAAUAGAAACGAUUCAGAUUGUUGAUAAAUUAGACUAAGCGUCUCAUAACUAAUAAAAAUAGUGCGUGGUACGUUAAUAUUAAUAGUUUAUUAAUAAAUUAGAUGUCAAGGUAUUAUAAUUUCGAGAAUCCAAAUUUGGGCUGAUUUGAGAAAAGUCCUAAGCGCAUCAGAAUUGUUGCUAGGCCAGGACAAUCUCAGGAAUGUUCGAACAACGACCGCAAGUUCUAAGAAUUUGACGUCACGAAAAGUGGCGUGAUGUCCAAUUACGGCUAAACCGAGAUAGUUACGACUCGGGUUAUUUAAUUAAGCAUUAUAUUAUAAUUUUGCGAUUAUGUUAAAAUUAUAUAGGACUCUGUCGAUUGUUAAGAACUAACAGUUCAAUAGUUUAUAAACUUGUAUCGUUAAUAAUUUCCACGACAAACCUGCACCGUUACCAAAGAUGCGUGUAGGUGGUGUAAGAUUUAGUUUUGUUUAAUUAUAAUUUGUAAGAAUACCUCUAAUUACUUAUAAAUUAUAAGUUAAGAAGCACGGCUGAAAUUUCAUCGAAAUGUUAGUUAUUAAAUAGCUAGCAGGGCAAAUUAUAGUUUAUUAUCAAGCUUUAGGUCACCAGAAAGUCUUGAUAAUGUUUAUUGCUAAAAAUAAUGUAAAUUUAGACUAUUUUCGCUAAUUUGCAAAUUUCGCCCUGCUGAUUGGCAAAUGAACACUAGGAAGGGAUUGACUCGGUGUUCGAAGUCAACUGAGCGCUCAUUGGCUGCGGCUAAAGCACUUAGCGAUUCUAUUUAAGGAGCAAGCGCCAUGACUCCAGGUUCCAGUCCGAUAUCGCGAGUCAGUGCACGUACUACGUCGUUCCGCGUGGACCAACUUCCUAAUGGCGUAAGUGUCUUAGACACUACGCUCAUUGGUGGCUAGAGUACUUGCCAAAGUGUUUAGUUGUAAUCUUCAUUGAUUCGGUCGUGUAGUAAUUGAACGAGGAAAAUAUAUAGCCAUUUUUAUUUUGUUUUUACAUAUAAAUUCAAAAUUUUA